rnacentral:rRNA from 1 species
UAGAUCAGAAGCGAGAAUGUUGACAUGAGUAGCGACAAACAGGGUGAGAAACCCUGUCGCCGAAAGUCCAAGGGUUCCUGCUUAAAGCUAAUCUGAGCAGGGUAAGCCGGCCUCUAAGGCGAGGCCGAAAGGCGUAGUCGAUGGGAACCAGGUUAAUAUUCCUGGGCCAGUGGGAUGUGACGGAUCGCAGAUGUAGUUUGCCCUUAUCGGAUUGGGUGGGCUGCUGUGCGGUUCCAGGAAAUAGCCCCACAUCAGACCGUACCCUAAACCGACACAGGUGGACUGGUAGAGUAUACCAAGGCGCUUGAGAGAACCACGUUAAAGGAACUCGGCAAAAUGCCUCCGUAAGUUCGCGAGAAGGAGGCCCCAUAUGUACGCAAGUAUGUGUGGGGUGCACAAACUAGGGGGUGGCGACUGUUUACUUAAAACACAGGGCUGUGCGAAGCCGUAAGGCGACGUAUACAGUCUGACGCCUGCCCGGUGCUGGAAGAUUAAGAGGAGGGGUGCAAGCUCUGAAUUGAAGUCCCAGUAAACGGCGGCCGUAACAAUAACGGUCCUAAGGUAGCGAAAUUCCCUGUCGGGUAAGUUCCGACCUGCACGAAUGGCGUAACGAUCUCCCCGCUGUCUCUAACGUGGACUCAGCGAAAUUGAACUGUGUGUCAAGAUGCACACUACCCGCGGUUAGACGGAAAGACCCCAUGAACCUUUACUCCAGCUUUGCACUGGUAUCAGGAUUGUGAUGUGCAGGAUAGGUGGUAGGCAUUGAAGCGGGGACGCCAGUCUUCGUGGAGCCUCCCUUGAGAUACCACCCUUCGCCAUCUUGAUAUCUAACCGCGGCCCGUUAUCCGGGUCCGGGACCCUGCAUGGUGGGGAGUUUGACUGGGGCGGUCGCCUCCCAAACAGUAACGGAGGCGCGCGAUGGUUGGCUCAGACCGGUCGGAAAUCGGUCGUUGAGUGCAAUGGCAGAAGCCAGCCUGACUGCAAGACUGACAAGUCGAGCAGAGACGAAAGUCGGUCAUAGUGAUCCGGUGGUCCCAAGUGGGGGCCAUCGCUCAACGGAUAAAAGGUACUCUGGGGAUAACAGGCUGAUGAUGCCCAAGAGUCCAUAUCGACGGCAUCGUUUGGCACCUCGAUGUCGGCUCAUCUCAUCCUGGGGCUGGAGCAGGUCCCAAGGGUAUGGCUGUUCGCCAUUUAAAGAGGUACGUGAGCUGGGUUUAGAACGUCGUGAGACAGUUCGGUCCCUAUCUGCCGUGGGUGCAGGAGACUUGAGAAGAGUUGACCCUAGUACGAGAGGACCGGGUUGAACGAACCACUGGUGGACCAGUUAUCGUGCCAACGGUAGUGCUGGGUAGCUAUGUUCGGACAGGAUAACCGCUGAAGGCAUCUAAGCGGGAAGCCCCCUUCAAAACAAGGUCUCCCUUGAGGGCCGUGGAAGACGACCACGUCGAUAGGCCAGAGGUGUAAGUGCAGCAAUGCAUUCAGCUGACUGGUACUAAUUGCCCGAUAAAAAAA